UACGGGGGAGCAAGCGUUGUUCGGAUUACUGGCGUAAAGGGCGCGUAGGCGGCGCAACAAGUCACUUGUGAAAUCUCCGGGCUUAACCCGGAGCGGCCAAGUGAUACUGUCGUGCUAGAGUGCGGAAGGGGCUACUGGAAUUCUCGGUGUAGCGGAUGAAUGCGUAGAUAUCGAGAGGAACACCUGCGGCGAAGGCGGGUAGCUGGGCCGACACUGACGCUGAGGCGCGAAAGCCAGGGAGCGAACGG
rnacentral:rRNA from 1 species